UGCGAGUCAAUGGGCGCACUAAACCCAAAGGCGAAAUGAAAGUGACACAAUACUUGAAAGAGUGUAAUGCUCUUUGGGCUGAUCCUCGACCGGCUGUCGGCAGAUGGGUUCAGAAUGGGAGAAGUGGGUGGGUGAGUCCCUUUCCCUACCUAACCUCUCGUCUGGCCUUUUUGUUUUUUUUUUGAGAAUGAGACGAAGGUCUUUGCUCCUUCGGGAGGGGGCGCAAGCCCGGGACUUGCCAUAUGACGCGCUGCAUUUCAGCUCUGCAUUGAAUUUUCUUAUUCUUCCCUCCGGGGAUGUUUUAAUUGAUUCUUGCAGAUUAAAGGUUGUGUGCGGUUGUAGUCGGCAAGUACCUUGAGCAUACAUGUUGGGACCCGAAAGAUGGUGAACUAUGCCUGGCCAGGAUGAAGCCAGAGGAAACUCUGGUGGAGGUCCGUAGCGAUUCUGACGUGCAAAUCGAUCGUCGGAGCUGGGUAUAGGGGCGAAAGACUAAUCGAACCAUCUAGUAGCUGGUUCCCUCCGAAGUUUCCCUCAGGAUAGCUGGAGCUCAUUGAAUGAAUUUCAUCCGGUAAAGCGAAUGAUUAGAGGUCUUGGGGAUGAAACGUUCUCAACCUAUUCUCAAACUUUAAAUGGGUGAGAUGCCAAGCUUGCUUAGAUAGUGAAGCUUUGGCGAUUAAUCAGAGUAUCUAGUGGGCCACUUUU
rnacentral:rRNA from 1 species